CAGACACACUGUAAUGACAGUAGGGCAUACAUGCAGAUCUGAGAAGGGGGUGAGGGAGGAGUAUAUACAGAAAAAACAAAAGCCAUUUUUAAAACAGUCAGGGAAAUGUUUCAGUGUUACUCUGCAGCUGCAUAACAAAUUCAGAUUCAGUGGCAUAGACCAUCAAGCUGUCUAGAAGAACUUGAGCGGAACGUUCCUUCAAACAUAGUCCCUCAAGCAAAAUAUGGAAGAUAAUGCUAGAAAAUAAGCCACACCUCCUUACUGAGGAUUAAAAGCAUCUUUUCCUAUUACAGGAGAUUUGGAGACCAAAGAGGUUGACCAGGUGGCUGGAACUGGUGAGUGACAAUGCAGCCCAAAUUGUUAAAGCAACAAGAAGAGACUCCUACGGAUACACACCAAGGAAGACCAUACUAGACAAUGGGUUCUGGUUGGGGAAAUGACAGCAGUCUGAAUCUUUACAUCCCUGCUCCAUCUCAUCAAACUUCUACAUAGGCGUCUAGCAGCAGCAUAGAGGAGCUCUAACUCUUUCAUAAACCUGGUACAUUGAGGAGAACCACAACUCAAAGGAAAUCGUUACAAAGUGGAGAAGUAAAAGGCCAGUGUCGCCGCCUUGUACAGAAGGAUCUGAAAAGUUUUUGUAUUGUCGAUCUCUGAUUUCAUUACUCCUAAUAACUCGUUUCCUGAUGGAAGACAUGGCCAUACAGUCUGCUGAAGACAGAUUCAAACAGCUGCAAGAAUUUAAUUCCCUAUUUGGCUUCCUGUAUGAUAUCAACCAAAAAACUACUGAAGAUGUACCUAAGGCCUGCAAGAAUUUGGAAACAUCAUUGAUGCACAAUGGAAACAAAGAUAUUGAUACUUUUACCCGUGUGAUGAACUUGGAGCAGGAACCCAAAGACUUCCAGGGUAUAUGACACCAAAAGAAGUACUUCUCUUCCUACUGAAACAACAAACCCUAAAUAGCUUUCCUAAUGUUUCUAUUGCUCUGAGGAGCCUUCUUACACUUCCAGUGUCAGUGGCAAGUGGUGAACGCAGUUUCUCAAAACUCAAACUUAUAAAGACAUACCUGCGCUCCACAAUGCUGCAAGAGAGACUAAUUGGUUUGGCAACUAUCUCAGUUGAACACACGGAAGCAUCAGCACUUGACCUGAAGGAAUUGGUGAGAACAUUUGCAAAAGAAAAGGCACGCCAAGUAAGAUUUUGACGUGCCUGAAAUGAAAACAUGCAAGAGACAUAAUUUUGACAUCACAGCUCACAGGUUUAUUCAAAGUUAUUUGUGAUUUCUUUUCUGUUUCCUGUUUGAGAAAGAAAAACAAAGAUUGUUGUUAUUUA